CAAUAUCGAGACAGAAUCUGAUCUUGCAAUUAAUCUGUCUUUGCCAGAUGAAGUAGAGGAGUUGAAGUGCACCCAAGCAGACCAAGAGAUUGACUUGUUAGAGGAGUUGCCUGUUGAUGUAAUUGAUGAGGAACCAACCAUUUCAAUUGAUGAGGAACCAAUUGAGGAAGU